UAUGGAUAUAGUAAGUCUUGCUUGGGCUGCUUUAAUGGUAGUCUUUACUUUUUCCCUUUCACUCGUAGUGUGGGGAAGGAGUGGACUCUAGGGGUCCUACUAAUUGAGUUAAGGAAGCAAACUGUAUCAAUAUCAAUUGCUUUCUAGAUCGUUCUGCAACACGUUUGGAACAAAAUAAAAAUAUCUUCAUUUUGAAAUUCCAUUGGACUCGACUGGAGUAAUGUAUUAUAGGAAUCAUCCUCCUUCAAUCAAAGAGCUAUUUCAACGAUUCCCAUGUUUGUAGUUCGAAAGGAAGAGGAUCCCAGGAAAUUUAUUUGAACCUAAUUCUUCCUAAAUUUUCUAGUCCAAUCAACGGCCUCUUACUAGGUGAUACUGAGGAGGGCCGGACCCUUUUUUUAUUUGUUUCUUUCUUUACUGUUCAAAGAAGAAGUUUUUUGUUAAGUGUAUACGCACUUUGUAUGAGAAAGAAGGGAUAUAAACAUAAUGGUUGUCUAACGAGAUACUAUGCAGAAUAAGGUUGUCAGGUGGGUCACAUAUUGCGCAUUUACCGCUUUCGAAUUUUUAAAAUUGGAUUUAUACUUUAUCGACUUAUUUCAUAUCAUGGUUCAGGCGUUAAAAAUCAGUGAGGUUUACUCUUCCUUUUCGAUGCCCGUGGAACUACUGUCAAUGGUUUACUCAAUUACUUAUUGGGAAUGUUAAAAAAAAAGAUUACUACGUGAUUUUUUGAAUAUGCCUAUAUCUAUCGCUUUUCCUUCAUUGAUUUGAUUCUUUCAAUAGAUACCGAGAUUCAUAUUGGAAAUAAAAAAUAUAGUAAUUCAAACUAUAAGACAUAAGAGUAAUUCAGAUUGAUCAGAACAAAUAGAUAUAGCAAAUAAAUGGAAUUGGAUGCUAUGUCACUCCCAUAUAUGGAAUUGAUAUUCACAUAUAUCAAGAUAAUAUUGUGGAUUGAUCUAUAGAUCCAUAUCAAAUGCAGCCUCUAUCUUUAUUUUAGUCCAGGGAGCAGCUACAAUCUAACUAAUAAAUAGUAUGGUAGAAAGAAAUAGAUGAAUCUUUCUACCAUACUAUCUAUCUAUUAGAAUACUGCCGAUUCUAGUCCACUCAUUUCAUUUAAGACAUGAAAUUGGAAUCUUUUUCAUUUUAUUUCGGCAAUUUUGGCUAAGAACAGCGCGAAGCAUAGUAACUUCUGGAAUGAAUAGCAAAGUAUCAUCAGGAAGGCCUUGUAUGGACUAAAACAAGCAAACUCCGGCUCGAAAGCAAAGGGAAGAAUUGCUCAGAUACGAAGAGCUAGCUUUGCUACCCCUGGGGGCUCAGAGAAAAGUCUACUUGCAUUUGUGUUGCAUGUGAAAAAGCUUUCCUGCACGCGGGAACCUUCCUUCUUCGAACCUUGAUGCUCAGUUCUGUUCUCCCGCACACCCGCUUUUGCAAGGCUAGCCGGGGGGGAGGUGCUUUUUUGGGUUUGGUUCGCCUAGAUAGGAAGUACGCUUGCAGUGCUUCUAGUAACUAUUUUGAAGUACAAUAGCAUGGUUCGCUUUGGCCGUGUCAUUAGCGUCAAUGAUGAUCUUUCCGUCUCUCACCAACGUCAUGAUCUUCUCCUUUAAGAUGAAGCAUCUUGCUGUAGGGUGACUGACGAUGCGGUGAUAUUUGCAAUACUUGGGAUCAUCGACUUUGUUGGCUUCAUCAGGUCGCUUUGACUCUGGAAGGUCAAUGACUUUCUUGGCCAGCAACUCGUCGAGAAUCGCAGGGACGUCAGAAUCAGGGAAAGUCAAGCCCUGCAAUGAGAUCAUGCGCCCUAACCUAAGCCUGGGCUACUGUUGUGUGUUCCGAUCCUUCUAGUGAGAGCUUGUGACCAUCGCAGUGACCGCAAGCUAGCAACAACGAAAGAAUGAGCGAGAGCAGCUCGAACGAUUUCCCAUACAAUCGACUCUUUUUCUCGAAUUUUACUCUUAGCAAUUCCUAUGUUCGAAGCAAGAUGUUGUCUAAUUAGACCACGAGCCAAUAUGUGACUAUGAGGGAGAAGAAUCUGCAAUCUGUAUUUAGUUUGUAUAUUCUUUUUCUUAUGUUAGAUAAAAUGUUAUUCUUUUUAUAAGUCUAACAGCAACAUUUGCCUUCUUUCUCAAGAGACCUCCGAAACGAGGUUUCCAACCUAAUAAAAUUCUUAAUUAUUAUAAAUAGUAGGAUAAUGGCUAGGAGGAUUUGAAAAGCAUUAUGGCAUUACGAUUUCCAAGGUUUAGCCAAGGCUUAGCUCAGGACCCCACUACUCGUCGUAUUUGGUUUGGUAUUGCUACCACACAUGACUUCGAGAGUCAUGAUGAUAUUACUGAGGAACGUCUUUAUCAGAAUAUUUUUGCUUCUCACUUCGGUCAAUCAACAAUAAUUUUUCUGUGGACUUCCAGAAAUCUGUUUCAUGUAGCUUGGCAAGAUAAGGGGAUUCCUCCCAUUGACUGAAGUUCAGAGUCAACCUUCCACAAAAGGCAAUCUUCUGAUAGAGGGGAAGAGGCAGAGCACAACCGAUUCUGUGGCACAAGAUGCGCUGGUAUUGCAAAGGCAGGUCUAGUUUAGGUGAAGGAAGUAUGACCGCCUUACCAAUAGUUGAAACUCAAUCGGGAGAUGUUUCGGCUUAUAUUCCUACUAAUGUAAUUUCCAUUACUGAUGGACAAAUCUUCUUAUCCGCCGACCUAUUCAAUUCUGGAAUCAGACCUGCUAUUAAUGUGGGUAUCUCCGUUUCCAGAGUGGGGUCCGCAGCUCAAAUAAAAGCCAUGAAACAAGUAGCUGGUAAAUUAAAAUUAGAACUAGCGCAAUUCGCAGAAUUAGAAGCCUUUGCACAAUUUGCUUCUGAUCUCGAUAAAGCUACUCAGAAUCAAUUGGCAAGAGGUCAACGAUUACGUGAAUUGCUUAAACAAUCCCAAUCGGCUCCUCUCACGGUAGCAGAGCAGAUAAUGACUAUUUAUACUGGAACAAACGGCUAUCUUGAUUCAUUAGAAGUUGGACAGGUAAGGAAAUUUCUUGUUGAGC
rnacentral:lncRNA from 1 species